rnacentral:rRNA from 1 species
AUCAUGGCUCAGGAUGAACGCUAGCUACAGGCUUAACACAUGCAAGUCGAGGGGCAGCAUGUUGGUGCUGCAACCAAUGAUGGCGACCGGCGCACGGGUGAGUAACGCGUAUCCAACCUUCCCCUUAGUAGAGGAUAGCCCGGCGAAAGUCGGAUUAACACUCUAUGUUGUAUUUUGAUGGCAUCUGACGAAUACCAAAGAUUUAUCGCUAAGGGAUGGGGAUGCGUCUGAUUAGGUUGCAGGCGGGGUAACGGCCCACCUGGCCUACGAUCAGUAGGGGUUCUGAGAGGAAGGUCCCCCACACUGGUACUGAGACACGGACCAGACUCCUACGGGAGGCAGCAGUGAGGAAUAUUGGUCAAUGGGCGCGAGCCUGAACCAGCCAAGUAGCGUGCAGGACGACUGCCCUAUGGGUUGUAAACUGUCUUUUAUCAGGGAAUAAAGUGAGGCACGCGUGCCUUUUUGUAUGUACCUGAUGAAUAAGGACCGGCUAAUUCCGUGCCAGCCGCCGC